rnacentral:rRNA from 1 species
UACGUAGGGGGCGAGCGUUGUCCGGAAUCAUUGGGCGUAAAGCGCGUGUAGGCGGCUUGGUAAGUCCGGUGUGAAACCUUGGGGCUCAACCCGAAGCCUGCACUGGAUACUGCCUCGCUUGAGUCCGGGAGGGGAGAGCGGAAUUCCUAGUGUAGCGGUGAAAUGCGCAGAUAUUAGGAAGAACACCGGUGGCGAAGGCGGCUCUCUGGAACGGUACUGACGCUGAGACGCGAAAGCGUGGGGAGCGAACAGG